rnacentral:rRNA from 1 species
UACGACUACAUAUCAGGCAUAUCAAUAAGCGGAGGAAAAGAAACUAACAAGGAUUCCCCUAGUAACGGCGAGUGAAGCGGGAAGAGCUCAAAUUUGAAAUCUUCAAGGUUCUACCUUGACGAAUUGUAGUUUAAAGAAGUGUUUUCGGUUAGAGGAGUAGUAAAAGUUCUUUGGAAUAGGACAUCAUAGAGGGUGAGAAUCCCGUAUUUGACCAUUAUUUCCAGCUUUGUGAUACACUUUCAAAGAGUCGGAUUGUUUGGGAAUGCAGUCCAAAAUGGGUGGUAAAUUUCAUCUAAAGCUAAAUAUUGGCGAGAGACCGAUAGCGAACAAGUACCGUGAGGGAAAGAUGAAAAGAACUUUGAAAAGAGAGUUAAACAGUACGUGAAAUUGUCAAAAGGGAAGCGUUUGACACCUGUGUUGUUUCUACGAAAAUCAAUUUAUGAUGGCUUGAUGCUAAGCUUUAAGACUUUAUCCGCUUGUUGUUUAGUUUUCUUGUCUUUGUGAAUGCACUUUUCGUGGAACAAGUCAACAUCAAUUUCUUUUGCUGUAAAAGGGUAAGAGGAAGGUGGCUUCGGCUUCGGUUGAAGUGUUUAUAGCCUUUAUCUCUGCAGUCGGAGAGAUUGAGGUCUGCAGCGUAGACUCUUCGGGGUUAGAUACGUCGGUGCUAAGCUAUAGCUUUUCAUAGACAACUUGUUGACUAUGUUUAGUCAUGUGGCUUACCCGCUGGCGCUAUUUUACCUACGCUUAGGAUGUUGACACACGCGCGUGCUCG